GCAGACGGGUGAGUAAUGCGUAGGAAUCUACCUAGUAGUAUGGAAUAGCCAUUAGAAAUGAUGGGUAAUACUGUAUAAUCCCUGCGGGGGAAAGAUUUAUCGCUAUUAGAUGAGCCUACGUUAGAUUAGCUAGUUGGUAAGGUAAUGGCUUACCAAGGCUAUGAUCUAUAGCUGGUCUGAGAGGACGAUCAGCCACACUGGAACUGAGAUACGGUCCAGACUCCUACGGGAGGCAGCAGUGGGGAAUAUUGGACAAUGGGCGAAAGCCUGAUCCAGCUAUGCCGCGUGAGUGAAGAAGGCCUUCGGGUUGUAAAACUCUUUCAAUAGGGAAGAUAAUGACGGUACCAA
rnacentral:rRNA from 1 species